rnacentral:misc_RNA from 1 species
AGAUCUUUUUCCUUUGCACAUGCUUGAAUCAUAACAAUUCAUUUUGCGACAUGUGAAUUACAUUUAAUUAGUAUAAUCCCCAAGUUCAAAAACACCAAAAUAAAUAAUAAUUCUUUUUUUAAUUUAUAUAUUUUACAAGAUCAAUAUUAACAAAAAUAAAGUCCCAAAAAUCUAUUUUUUUUAAUAAUACUAUUAUUUUUUUAUUAAUUAAAUUUAACAAAUAAAAUAACAACUUCAAUAUAAUGGACUUUUAACUGAAAUUUAACAAUAUACAUUGCAAAAUUUAACAGGUCAUAUAACUUUGGACUUUGUGAAUUGAUUUAACAAGCCACAUUUACACCUAAAUCUCACUUAACCCACUAGAUUUAAUGAGUUAAAGAAUACGUAACCAAAAAAUGGUCAGCAAUAUUGAUACAGAUGAUGCAUUCUUUUUCCUCCGGAGUCAACAGCUUCUUCUUCCUCUUGAGUUGAAGUCCCAACCACAGUUUUUCUGCCUUCUUUUUCUAUAAUUUAUGUUGAGCUUUUGGCUUGCUCAUUUUGGUGACUUUGGUUGAGUCCCAUAGUGAAUUGGGAUGCAAACAUCUCAUGAAUUGUAACGGACAAACCAGACUGCGGAACUCAGGGGUCCCAACGAAUUUGGUAACUAUUUACUAAAUUAUAAGACUAACACAUCCACAGAUGAAGCGAAACAUAACCAAAGACUAAAUCAAUUAAAAAAAAAAACAAAGUACUCUCAAGAUUUUUAUACCAAUUUUGUAAUUUUUUUUUGCAAGUAGGCAAGUACAUUUUACAGUAUCA